rnacentral:rRNA from 1 species
GGUGCUAAGGUCCAUGUCCGAGAGGGAAAGAACCCAGACCAUCAGCUAAGGUCCCAAAAUAUAUGUUAAGUUGAAUAAACGAGGUGAAACUGCUUAGACAGCUAGGAUGUUGGCUUGGAAGCAGCCAUUCAUUUAAAGAGUGCGUAACAGCUCACUAGUCGAGCGGUUUUGCAUGGAUAAUAAUCGGGCAUAAACAUAUUACCGAAGCUAUGGAUUUGUAUUAUAUACAAGUGGUAGGGGAGCAUUGUAACCUGCGUAGAAGGUGUGCUGUAAGGCAUGCUGGAGUGGUUACAAAAGAAAAUGUAGGCAUAAGUAACGAUAAUGCGGGCGAGAAACCCGCACGCCGAAAGACUAAGGUUUCCUCAGCGAUGCUAAUCAGCUGAGGGUUAGUCGGGGCCUAAGGCGAAUCCGAAAGGAGUAGUCGAUGGACAACAGGUUAAUAUUCCUGUACUUCUUAUAAUUGCGAUGGGGUGACGGAGUAAUGAAAGCACCGCGUACUGACGGAAUAGUACGUUGAACUGAGUAGCUAUUGGAACUGUAGGCAAAUCCGCAGAUCUAGGUGAAUCAGGAUAGUACCAUAAGGCUUCGGCUGCGUGGAUAGUGUGCCUAAAGGCUUCCAAGAAAAACCUCUAAGCUUCAGAUUAUAAGAACCCGUACCGUAAACCGACACAGGUAGUUGGGAUGAGAAUUCUAAGGUGCUCGAGAGAUUCAUGGCUAAGGAACUAGGCAAAAUAGACCCGUAACUUCGGGAGAAGGGUCGCCACGCUUUACGGCGUGGCCGCAGUGAAAAGGUCCAGGCGACUGUUUAUCAAAAACACAGGGCUUUGCUAAAUUGAAAGAUGAUGUAUAAGGCCUGACACCUGCCCGGUGCUGGAAGGUUAAGUGGAGGGUUUAGCUUCGGCGAAGAUCUGAAAUGAAGCCCCAGUAAACGGCGGCCGUAACUAUAACGGUCCUAAGGUAGCGAAAUUCCUUGUCGGGUAAGUUCCGACCUGCACGAAUGGUGCAACGAUCUGGACACUGUCUCAGCCAUGAGCUCGGUGAAAUUGUAGUAUCGGUGAAGAUGCCGAUUACCCGCAGCGGGACGAAAAGACCCCGUGAACCUUUACUAUAGCUUAGUAUUGGCUUUGGAUAAGUAAUGUGUAGGAUAGGUGGGAGACAUUGAAGUGGCGUCGCUAGGCGUUGUGGAGUCGUCCUUGAAAUACCACCCUUUGCUUAUCUAGAGUCUAACUCAGAGAUGAGGACAGUGCUUGGUGGGUAGUUUGACUGGGGUGGUCGCCUCCAAAAGAGUAACGG